rnacentral:ncRNA from 1 species
AUUUUGCUGAAGACGGAGAAAGUAAUUGCUGGCAUCGACUGAAAAGAGAGGGAAAGCCCUGGGCUGAAAGCUUUCCUGCAGAGAACUGCAAUGAACAACACUCCUGAGGUUCUUUACUGAACGGCGCAAUGCGCUUAUUAGGCUAAGACGGUUCCGGCCGUUAUCCGGACAGAGAGGGCGCAGAAACUUGCGUCAACUAGGGUGGAACCGCGGAAGCUAAUUUUUAGCUCUCGUCCCUUGC